AGGACGAUGCUGCAAGUUCAGAUGUUGGUACAACCAUUCCUGAUAAGGUUGCUAGUCGUGAAGAUUUCGAGGCAUUGAUCCCUGAGGAUCCCGACGACUGGACAGAAGAGAUGUGGGACUAUUGUUACCAACAGGAACAGGAGGAUAUG